UCGAGGAUCUUCGGCAAUGGGCGCAAGCCUGACCGAGCGACGCCGCGUGCGCGAUGAAGGCCUUCGGGUUGUAAAGCGCUGUCGAGGGGGAGGAAAGCCCGAAAGGGUCUGACCUAUCCCUGGAGGAAGCACGGGCUAAGUUUGUGCCAGCAGCCGCGGUAAGACAAACCGUGCAAACGUUGUUCGGAAUCACUGGGCUUAAAGGGCGCGUAGGCGGCUUACCAAGUCGGGGGUGAAAUCUUUCGGCUUAACCGGAAAAGUGCUUUCGAUACUGGUAAGCUUGAGCGAGGUAGGGGCAUGCGGAACUUCCGGUGGAGCGGUGAAAUGCGUUGAUAUCGGAAGGAACGCCGGUGGCGAAAGCGGCGUGCUGGACCUCUUCUGACGCUGAGGCGCGAAAGCUAGGGGAGCGAACGGGAUUAGAUACCCCCGUAGUCC
rnacentral:rRNA from 1 species